CGGCUGGCGGCGUGCCUAAUACAUGCAAGUCGAACGGCUUUUCUAUGGAAGCUUGCUUCCACUGAGAAGAUAGUGGCGAACGGGUGAGUAACACGUGGGUAACCUGCCCAUAAGAGGGGGGAUAACAUCCGGAAACGGGUGCUAAUACCGCAUAGUUUUCUUGAUCGCAUGAUCGGGAAAGGAAGGACGGCCUUUGUGCUGUCGCUUAUGGAUGGACCCGCGGCGUAUUAGUUAGUUGGUGAGGUAACGGCUCACCAAGACGAUGAUACGUAGCCGACCUGAGAGGGUGAUCGGCCACAUUGGGACUGAGACGCGGCCCAAACUCCUACGGGAGGCAGCAGUAGGGAAUCUUCCGCAAUGGACGAAAGUCUGACGGAGCAACGCCGCGUGAGUGAAGAAGGUUUUUCCGGAUCGUAAAACUCUGUUGUCAGAGAAGAACAAGUUGGAGAGUAACUGCUCCAGCCUUGACGGUAUCUGACCAGAAAGCCACGGCUAACUACGUGCCAGCCGCAGC
rnacentral:rRNA from 1 species